rnacentral:tRNA from 3 species
GGCGAGUUAUCCAGUCUGGGACUGGGCCCCGUUGCUAGCGGACGCGCAUCCCUGGGUGUGAGGUUCGAUUCCUCAGCUCGCCGC